GGGAAUAUUGCGCAAUGGAGGAAACUCUGACGCAGUGACGCCGCGUGCAGGAAGAAGGUUUUCGGAUUUUAACCUGCUUUAGACAGGGAAGAAAAAAGACAGUACCUGUAGAAUAAGCUCCGGCUAACUACGUGCCAGCAGCCGCGGUAACACGUAGGGAGCAAGCGUUAUCCGGAUUUAUUGGGUGUAAAGGGUGCGUAGACGGAGAAGCAAGUUAGUUGUGAAAUCCCUCGGCUUAACUGAGGAACUGCAACUAAAACUACUUCCCUUGAGUACUGGAGAGGCAAGUGGAAUUCCUAGUGUAGCGGUGAAAUGCGUAGAUAUUAGGAGGAACACCAGUGGCGAAGGCGACUUUCUGGACAGUAACUGACGUUGAGGCACGAAAGUGUGGGGAGCAAACAG
rnacentral:rRNA from 1 species